rnacentral:rRNA from 1 species
UACGGAGGAUGCAAGCGUUAUCCGGAAUUAUUGGGCGCAAAGCGUCCGCAGGUGGCUAUGUAAGUCUGCUGUUAAAGAGCAAGGCUCAACCUUGUAAAGGCAGUGGAAACUACAUGGCUAGAGUGCGUUCGGGGCAGAGGGAAUUCCUGGUGUAGCGGUGAAAUGCGUAGAGAUCAGGAAGAACACCGGUGGCGAAGGCGCUCUGCUAGGCCGCAACUGACACUGAGGGACGAAAGCUAGGGGAGCGAAUGGG